rnacentral:rRNA from 1 species
CCCUUAGAUGUCCUGGGCCGCACGCGCGUUACACUGAUGCAUUCAACGAGCUUAUAACCUUGGCCGAGAGGCCUGGGCAAUCUUGUUAACGUGCAUCGUGAUAGGGAUAGAUUAUUGAAAUUAUUAAUCUUGAACGAGGAAUUCCUAGUAAACGCAGAUCAUCAAUCUGCAUUGAUUACGUCCCUGCCCUUUGUACACACCGCCCGUCGCACCUACCGAUUGGAUGGUCCGGUGAGGCUUUGGGAUCUGAGCAAAAAGAGCGUUUCGCUCGUUUGGCUCGGAAAACUCAGUCGAACCUUAUCAUUUAGAGGAAGGAGAAGUCGUAACA